rnacentral:rRNA from 1 species
UACGUAGGGCGCGAGCGUUGUCCGGAAUUAUUGGGCGUAAAGAGCUCGUAGGCGGCCUGUCGCGUCCGCUGUGAAAUCCCGGGGCUUAACCCCGGGCCUGCAGUGGAUACGGGCAGACUGGAGGUAUGCAGGGGAGAACGGAAUUCCUGGUGUAGCGGUGAAAUGCGCAGAUAUCAGGAGGAACACCGGUGGCGAAGGCGGUUCUCUGGGCAUGUCCUGACGCUGAGGAGCGAAAGUGUGGGGAGCGAACAGG